UGCCCCAUGGCUGAGUUGGUUACAGCGUCCGACUGUUAAGAGCUAUCGGAAGGUCGAGAGUUCGAGCCUCUCUGGGGCAG